rnacentral:rRNA from 1 species
CACGUAGGGUGCGAGCGUUGUCCGGAAUUAUUGGGCGUAAAGAGCUCGUAGGCGGUGUGUCACGUCGUUCGUGAAAACCUGCAGCUUAACUGUGGGCGUGCGGUCGAUACGGGCAUCACUGGAGUUCGGCAGGGAGACUGGAAUUCCUGGUAUAGCGGUGAAAUGCGCAGAUAUCAGGAGGAACACCCGUGGCGGAAGGCGGUCCUCUGGGUCCGCCGACGCU